AAGAAAGCCCAGGCUGGUGCGUCAGAAGGCUCAGUGGUACCCCAAUUCCAGGUAUCACCCUGGGGGGAACCUCAUACCUAAACUAGUGAAGCUGGUCCA